CUACAGGGGUAUCUAAUCCUGUUUGCUCCCCACGCUUUCGCUCCUCAGCGUCAGUACAGGCCCAGAAGGCCGCCUUCGCCACUGGUGUUCCUCCUGAUAUCUGCGCAUUUCACCGCUACACCAGGAAUUCCACCUUCCCCUACCUGCCUCAAGCCCGUCAGUAUCGGAUGCAGUUUCACGGUUGAGCCGUGAGAUUUCACAUCAGACUUAACGGGCCGCCUACGAGCUCUUUACGCCCAAUAAUUCCGGACAACGCUUGCCCCCUACGUAUUACCGCGGCUGCUGGCAC
rnacentral:rRNA from 1 species